UGUGAGCCAUAAGGCACAGAUUUGCAGCUUCAUCACCAUCACUUGAGCUUUGUGUGCUUGAUGAAUCACUAUCACUUUCCCAUGCAAUAUACGCUCUUCUUUGUUUGCUGUACCCUUUUGGUGAAUCUUUUCUUUGGUCCUUAUACUUCAUAGGGCAGUCCGUUUUAAAGUGUCCGGAUUUACCACAAUUAAAGCAUGAUCCUCUUCCUCUACUCUUCUUGUUCUCUUCUUGUUUCGAAUUUAUAGAUUGUCUUCGAAAUUUCAUGAGAUUUUUGUCGGAAUGUUUGACUCCAUUCUUUCGAAUGAAUCUAUUGUAUCUUCUUACAAACAGUCCCAUUUCCUCAUCAUCCGAGUCUUUGUCACUACUUGAAUCAUUGUCGCUUUGCUCUUUUCGUGAGGACUUAGAGCUAGAGGCCACAAGAGCUAUUGGCUUCUUCUCUCCCUCUUUGUC
rnacentral:lncRNA from 1 species